AUGGAGACAGCAGAAGCAGGCACACAUUCACAGCUGAGGAUGCCUGUCUGCAGGGCUGAGGCUGGGUGGGCGUCGGGGCAGGCAGGGCUGCUGGCGCCCCAGGGCUCAGUCGGAGUCCCCCCGGGCGUCCGCGGCUGCCCCCCCGUCCCUGCUCUCGCCGUCCUCUCUCCACCUGCCGUGUCCCUCCUCGUCGGCAGUCUGUCUGAACGCGCGUGGCCGGGAUGUAUCUCAGGUCUGCAGCCGCAGGGAUGCGAGAAUGUGACUCCCCGUGUGUCUUAUGUCCGUGUCUCCCGUCGUUCGUUUUACCCCCGGAGGUCCCGGCGAAGCCCCACCAGUGCCUGGCUCAGCACCCUGCACACACGAGCUAACCGGUGGCAUUCUGAAGAGCAUCCUUACUUUCUCUGCACAAAAGGAACUUCCUUCCUACCUAAGGUGACCCUCCAAAGAGCUCUAUUUCUUUCACUGGGGAAAAGUUAUUAG
rnacentral:lncRNA from 12 species